GAGACCCACACGCUUAGUUGCCAGCAAGAGGCUUCGGCUUCGUUGGGAACGCUAAGCGGACUGCCAUCGUACAGAUGGAGGAAGGGGUGGGCCACGGCAGGUCAGUAUGCCCCUAAUCCCCCGGGCCACACGCGGGCUGCAAUGGUAUGGACAAUGGGUUGCAACUCUGAAAAGAGGAGCCAAUCUCGAAACCAUAUCUCAGUUGGGAUUGUUGGCUGGAACCCGCCGACAUGAACGUGGAAUCCCUAGUAAUCGUGUGUCAUCAUCGCACGGUGAAUAC
rnacentral:rRNA from 1 species